ensembl:snoRNA
GCACCACAGUACAACCCUGUCAAUCAUGUGUGUUUGAUGUGGGUCAAGUUGGUGCCAGAGAGAUUCAAUGUAAAUCCAGAUGGACCUCCUCUUCCCAUGGAGCCUGUCUCUACAACUUUGAUACAAAA